rnacentral:rRNA from 1 species
GCAUAUCAAUAAGCGGAGGAAAAGAAACCAACCGGGAUUGCCUUAGUAACGGCGAGUGAAGCGGCAAAAGCUCAAAUUUGAAAUCUGGCGUCUUCGACGUCCGAGUUGUAAUUUGAAGAAGGCGACUUUGUAGCUGGUCCUUGUCUAUGUUCCUUGGAACAGGACGUCAUAGAGGGUGAGAAUCCCGUGUGGCGAGGAUCCCAGUUAUUUGUAAAGUGCUUUCGACGAGUCGAGUUGUUUGGGAAUGCAGCUCUAAGUGGGUGGUAAAUUCCAUCUAAAGCUAAAUAUUGGCGAGAGACCGAUAGCGAACAAGUACAGUGAUGGAAAGAUGAAAAGAACUUUGAAAAGAGAGUGAAAAAGUACGUGAAAUUGUUGAAAGGGAAGGGCAUUUGAUCAGACAUGGCGUUUGCUUCGGCUUUCGCUGGGCCAGCAUCAGUUUUAGCGGUUGGAUAAAUCCUCGGGAAUGUGGCUCUGCCUCGGUAGAGUGUUAUAGCCCGUGGGAAUACAGCCAGCUGGGACUGAGGAUUGCGACUUUUGUCAAGGAUGCUGGCGUAAUGGUUAAAUGCCGCCCGUCUUGAAACACGGACCAAGGAGUCUAACGUCUAUGCGAGUGUUUGGGUGUAAAACCCGUACGCGUAA